GUGGUAGUAGCAUAGUUGGCUAAUGCACGACGUUGCCAACGUCGAUAUCGCCGGUUCAAGUCCGGCCUACCACACCA
rnacentral:tRNA from 1 species